GGUAGCUCCUGUUUAGGAAUGCUUAACAUAGAUCAUUAGACGUCAGUAGAAAUAAUGAAAUAAAGUAGAUCUAGAUUAGGAUUGUAUAACAUAGUCCAUUAGACUUCAGUUGCAAUAAGGAAAUAAAGCAGAUCCUGAUUAGGAAUGUAUAACACAGUCCUUUAGACUUUAGUUACAAUUAUGAAAUAAACGUAGUAAACAUUCAUCAAUUGAUCAGGUUACUUUCAACAAAGCAAAUUGUAUAAGAAGCAAUAUAGGAUCCCAGAGGGCAGACGUAA